rnacentral:rRNA from 1 species
CGCCAGACUCCUACGGGAGGCAGCAGUGGGGAAUAUUGCACAAUGGGGGAAACCCUGAUGCAGCGACGCCGCGUGAGUGAAGAAGUAAUUCGUUAUGUAAAGCUCUAUCAGCAGGGAAGAAAAUGACGGUACCUGAGUAAGAAGCCCCGGCUAACUACGUGCCAGCAGCCGCGGUAAUACGUAGGGGGCGAGCGUUAUCCGGAUUCACUGGGUGUAAAGGGAGCGUAGGCGGACUUUUAAGUGAGAUGUGAAAUACUCGGGCUCAACUUGAGUGCUGCAUUUCAAACUGGAAGUCUAGAGUGCAGGAGAGGAGAAUGGAAUUCCUAGUGUAGCGGU